rnacentral:rRNA from 1 species
GAUGAACGCUGGCGGCGUGCCUAAUACAUGCAAGUCGAGCGAACAGACAAGGAGCUUGCUCCUUUGACGUUAGCGGCGGACGGGUGAGUAACACGUGGGUAACCUACCUAUAAGACUGGGAUAACUUCGGGAAACCGGAGCUAAUACCGGAUAAUAUUUCGAACCGCAUGGUUCGAUAGUGAAAGAUGGUUUUGCUAUCACUUAUAGAUGGACCCGCGCCGUAUUAGCUAGUUGGUAAGGUAACGGCUUACCAAGGCGACGAUACGUAGCCGACCUGAGAGGGUAAUCGGCCACACUGGAACUGAGACACGGUCCGGACUCCUACGGGAGGCAGCAGUAGGGAAUCUUCCGCAAUGGGCGAAAGCCUGACGGAGCAACGCCGCGUGAGUGAUGAAGGUCUUCGGAUCGUAAAACUCUGUUAUUAGGGAAGAACAUACGUGUAAGUAACUAUGCACGUCUUGACGGUACCUAAUCAGAAAGCCACGGCUAACUACGUGCCAGCAGCCGCCGUAAUAC